rnacentral:rRNA from 1 species
UACGUAGGGGGCGAGCGUUGUUCGGAAUUACUGGGCGUAAAGGGCGCGUAGGUGGCCUGUUAAGUCGAACGUGAAAUCCCCGGGCUCAACCCGGGAACUGCGUCCGAGACUGGCAGGCUCGAAUCCGGGAGAGGGAUGUGGAAUUCCAGGUGUAGCGGUGAAAUGCGUAGAUAUCUGGAGGAACACCGGUGGCGAAGGCGGCAUCCUGGACCGGUAUUGACGCUGAGGCGCGAAAGCCAGGGGAGCAAACGGG